rnacentral:lncRNA from 1 species
UUUGAUCAAUGCAUUUUGAUGCACUUUCUUAUACUAUUAUACUUAGGCAUUUCCUUAGUUUAUUUUACUUAUUUUACUUAUUUUACUAUUUUAUUAUGUUUUUAUAUUUAAGUUUAUUUUUUGCUUUAUUUUAUUUUCGUACUUUAUUUUCGGCAUAAACAAUUAUUUGAUACCUUGUUAAUAUGCAGAUCAUAACUUGGGCUAUAGGAAUUGGAUUGACGUGUUCUAAUAUGAGUU